rnacentral:rRNA from 1 species
GACGGAGGAGGCAAGCGUUGUCCGGAAUUAUUGGGCGCAAAGGGUACGUAGGCGGCUGGUCAAGUCUGGGGUCAAAGGCCACAGCUCAACUGUGGGAAGGCCCUGGAAACUGGCCGGCUAGAGUGAGGUAGGGGUUGCGGGAAUUCCCGGUGUAGCGGUGAAAUGCGUAGAGAUCGGGAAGAACACCUGAGGCGGAAGCGCGCAACUGGGCCUCAACUGACGCUGAGGUACGAAAGCUAGGGGAGCGAAUGGG